rnacentral:rRNA from 1 species
GACGAACGCUGGCGGCGUGCUUAACACAUGCAAGUCGAGCGGAGCGGCGAACGGGUGAGUAAAGCGUGAGUAACUGCCCCCCUCUCUGGGAUAACAGUUGGAAACGGCUGCUAAUACCGGAUAGUGGGGGAUGACUCGAGUCCUAUCAGCGUGUUGGGGGGGUAGUGGCCUACCAAGGCGACGACGGGUAGCCGGCCUGAGAGGUCGACCGGCCACAGUGUGCUAAGGGACGGACCGAAACACUACGGGAGGCAGCAGUGGGUGAUAUUACACUAUAGGGGAAACGCUGAUGCAGCAACGCCGCGUGCGGGGUGACGGCAUUCGGGAUGUAAACCGCUUUCAGCCAUAACGCGGUAGUGGCAUAAGAAGCACCUGCUAACUACGUACCAGCAGCCGCGGUAAUAC